rnacentral:rRNA from 1 species
ACUCACAGCCAUAUCACCUUGCAGCCAAAGACUGGUUACUUGAGGCUAAACAGGGCUGAGCCUGGUUAGUACCUGAAUGGUAAACCACAUAAAAAGACUAUAGGUUACUGUUGGAA